CAGUCGCCGCGGUAAUACAGAGGGUGCAAGCGUUAUCCGGAUUUAUUGGGUUUAAAGGGUCCGUAGGCGGACUUAUAAGUCAGUGGUGAAAGCCUGUCGCUUAACGAUAGAACUGCCAUUGAUACUGUAAGUCUUGAGUAUAUUUGAGGUAGCUGGAAUAAGUAGUGUAGCGGUGAAAUGCAUAGAUAUUACUUAGAACACCAAUUGCGAAGGCAGGUUACCAAGAUAUAACUGACGCUGAGGGACGAAAGCGUGGGUAGCGAACAGGAUUAGAUACCCGUGUAGUCCCUGUCUCUUAUAA
rnacentral:rRNA from 1 species